GUAACAGUUCUUGCCUUUCUCUCUGUGAUCAAAAGGCAGUGUGGCCAUAUCACCCAGACUUGAGGAGGCUCCAAGCAUUCCAUUAUCAGUUGUGGGUGGUCAAGAAUUUAUCGGUUCCAUGUUGGAUCGACCUUUCUGGCUCUGAUUUUAGUAAUGAUUUGUGACUCUUCUCUCAAGUAAUUACUUUUUUUUGUCAAGUAUUUCAAGUUAAAUUCAGAAACCAGAAUAUUUACAAAUGCAUUUUGGAUAGCCAGAUCUUUAACAUUUCAAAAAGUCACAAAAUAUAAGCCAAUGAUAUGUUCGUAAGAUCUCCAGGCUUUGGUCCUUGCAGUUGCAGGUAGGCGGUAGCAAAGCUUGCAGGAGUUUUUUUUUAAUCUUACCGGUCCUUUGAUCAAUUGUAAAUUUGUCCAUAUAAAUAUUACAAGUAUAGCAAGUUACUGGCUUUUUUGACAGCUAUCCUCUGCACUUAUUCAUGUAGAACUUCAGAGAUUUCUUCCAUUUACAAAAAGUGUCUGAACCUUAAGAUCAAUUUUACCUUUUUCCUCUUCAAACAAAGCAGGUGUGCAGAAUCAAUGAUUUUGCUCUUGGAGUUCUCGCGGCAGUGUAAACUGUAAAGCAUUAGUUUUCACGGUCCACGAGAGUUUGUGGCCUGGCAGUUUAGGAAUUUGAAGCUUCUUGAGUUGAGACUAGUUUUCUGGUUCACCCGCUUGUUCGCUUAAGCAAAUUAGACAUUUCUGCAAAGAGGCUGUGACAGAUAGUACAUAGAGCAUAUGAUGGGCCAAUUGAAACUGGGAAGGACUCUGAAUUGAUGCAGGAACUGAGCAGUGCUGUAGUUAGAGUCUCUUGCUAGCAGAUCCCUCGGUGGACGUUCUGAUGAAUUCCACUGGGAAGAUGGCUUUCCAUUGAAUCUCCAUAUCUACCAAAUGUUAGUAGAAGCUUGCUUUGAGAGUGAUGGUACUGUGGUUGAUGAGAUUGAUGAAGUGAUGGAGUUUUUGAAGAAGACUUGGGUUAUUCUUGGGAUCAAUCAGAUGCUUCACAACUUCUACUUUACGUGGGCAUUACUCAACCAUUUUGCCAUGUCGGACCAAGUAGAUAUCGUUACUUUCUGCAGCAGAGAAUCAGUUACCUGGGUAAAAGAUGCAAAAACCACCGAAGCUCCAGAUUACUGUGAUAUACUUAGCUCCACUUUAAGUUCGAUGAUGGAAAGGAGUCUCAACUGCGAAGAUUCUGGGGGAAAGAUACACCAAAAGAAUACCGCCAGAGAAGGAAAGAAGAGACUGAUGUAGUACGCGGCAGGAUAGAAGCCUGCAUACGGUCUGUACUGCUUUUUCUCAAUAUCAUUAGGGUCAUUAUGUACUGCACCGUGGUUGUAUCUGGAUAAAAAAAAUGUCUACCUCAUCAUCUUCCUCAUGGCAGUUGACAAGAUGGAAUGUACAGAAUGGUUCUACAUCAAACCAUAAUACUGAGUUUGCAUCUCCAUAACGGGGCAUGACACCAAUUCUUGCAUAGCUUUCUUUGUCAUAGUCAAUCAACCUACAUCAGGGCAUAUAUGAACAAAUUGGGAAACCGAGAUAAGUUUUAAAACAAGAUUAGGUUCAUUGAGAAGACUUACGGGGCACCUCGUAGCAUCCUUCUUGGAUUGACGGUAAGUGGUGUAUCCAUGAUAAUAUUGUACCUAAGAAAUCAAAUUAACUGCACUGAGUAUUUUUAUUGGCUUCAUUCUUUUUUCCUGAAAUGGCGAUGUAUUAUGCUACAUUUGUUGUUUACUUCACGUAUAUCUAUAGGUAAUUUAUUCGAACUGGCUUCAGAAAGCCAGAUUAACCCAACAAUGCUGUAGAGGUUUAAAUUAUAUUUUAAAAUAAUUAGUAUCAACUUAAUUAUUUAUUACCAUAUAUAGUUUUCUUCCGAUUUAUAUUCAUUUAUUUUAGGGACACUAUUGUGAUAUUAAAGUAAAUACAUAUAUAAAAAUAAAAGCAAACUUCCGCAUCAAAAUAAAUAAAUUAACCACUGCACAUCAACAGAGCAGUAGAGCUAGCACAACUGGUAGUAGUAGCCAAGAACUUACAAUGUAGUAACUCCUAUUUCAUGACAAAAUGUGCAUCGAUCUAGCUUGAGGUCAACCUUGUGUGUUAGGUUCUUUCCAUCCGCUGCAGUAAAACUUAAAAGUCAGCAAUCUAAUUUUUCUGCAAGUAAAUAGGAGAUGCGUAAACUGAAAUUAGGAUCUAGAAGACCUGAGACAACUCCGACCAUUAGAAAAGGCUUCGUCAAAUUGAAUCCACAAAUGACCAGCUCUCCUGACCCCGGAACCACCUGUUCCCAUAGGCAAGUUGCCGGUCAUGGAAGGUACAGUUCAUUCAAGAUAUUUUGGAGCGACUAAAUUCUACUCCGUAUCAUGAAAGGUGUAAAAUUAAGAUCUUGCAGAAUCCUUGAAUUGCUGAGCGAAAGAACCGACCUUCGGGUGCGAUGUGCACGGGGUGUUCCAGUCACCGCCAAAGUCAUGCCUGCCCACUGUGUCGAGGUUCUGCAGAUCAAUCUCUUGGGGAACGUUAUUCUCGGCGAUUGUAUAUACUCUCCCGGAAUGCUCAAACACGCUCGUGUUGCUGUAGUUCUGGAACGGUUUGCCGAACCUCAGCUGCGCCCACAUGACAUACAUACAUGUAUGUUUCAGCUCCCAAGAUUAACUAUAUAUCACCGGAAAAUAUAUCUGAUGAUAAGUAUUCCCUCAAAUAUUACAUGUACGUAGACAAUUUUUUAGAAAUAGAUACAUUCAUUUUUGAACAAAUUUGAGACAAGAAUUAUGAAACGGAGGGAGUACUACUUUCUCUAAUUCAUAUUAAAUAUCGCUGAUUUAGUUCAAGACCCGAGAGUGUAGUAAUACUUACUCCCUCUAAUCCAUAAUAAGUGUCACUGAUUUUUUU